CCUACGGGUGGCAGCAGUGAGGAAUAUUGGUCAAUGGACGAGAGUCUGAACCAGCCAAGUAGCGUGAAGGAUGACUGCCCUAUGGGUUGUAAACUUCUUUUAUCUGGGAAUAAAAUGUUCCACGUGUGGGUUUUUGUAUGUACCAUAUGAAUAAGGAUCGGCUAACUCCGUGCCAGCAGCCGCGGUAAUACGGAGGAUGCGAGCGUUAUCCGGAUUUAUUGGGUUUAAAGGGUGCGUAGGUGGAUUGUUAAGUCAGUUGUGAAAGUUUGCGGCUCAACCGUAAAAUUGCAGUUGAAACUGGCAGUCUUGAGUACAGUAGAGGUGUGCGGAAUGCGUGGUGUAGCGGUGAAAUGCUUAGAUAUCACGAAGAACUCCGAUUGCGAAGGCAGCUUACUGGACUGCAACUGACACUGAGGCUCGAAAGUGUGGGUAUCAAACAGGAUUAGAUACCCUUGUAGUC
rnacentral:rRNA from 1 species